rnacentral:lncRNA from 1 species
AUUACAAAGCUUCCGGUUUCCCUUCCCGCUGUGUGUGAAGUCCUCCGUGCCGUCUGACCCACUUUAACUUUCUCAUUUGUUUGUUUUCUGGCUUCCCCUCUGGAAGCAUUGCCCCAUGAGGGGAAUGUGUGUGUUAUGGCUGCUUUCUUACCUUUGCCUGUGGCACUGUGCCAUGCGCAAGCGAGCUCAAGCGUUAAACACAGAAAGAAUACGAGGAAGAACACACAGCAGAUCUGAAAGCACCUUGGAAACCAGUGGCUGCUUUUACCAGCACCUACAUCUUUUAACAGGCUAUGGCUGGUUGUCAUAGAAAGGCCUCAUCCCUGGAAGGUUUCUGCAGAACCUGAAACUGCCAGACCCCUGACCUAAGAAAAUGGAAGUCUUAGGUGAUCAUGGACCCUAAUGGGGGCACCAAGGGAUUAAGAGAUUAUGAAAAGAAAAGUUUAAGACUAGAAAAUCCCCAUGUGAGGGCUGACUGGCCUAUGAACCACCAAGACAACCUAAAGUAGGUAAACUGAAGCUGGCCUGGCUUGGCCUCCCCCUGGGACCUUAAUGGACUCGCAUCCUGGGAGUCUGGGUCCCAAGACCUAAUCCCUCUUUUGGCAUCGCUUGAUGUUGGACUCAAAGGAGACGCUCCUCUGCCCUGCAAUAAGAACUCAGUGUGGCCACAGGCUCACCAGCCUUGUCGUCUUCCUGGGCCAUGGAGAAGACUGCAUUUCCCAGCCUCAACUCCCAAGGCGAUGACGUGCUAUGGUUGGCUCCCACCAAAACUCAUCUCGAAGUGUGGUUGCCGAGGCAAUUGUGUUGGUAAGCAAAACCUUUAAGGGGGAUAAUAUUUCCUUGUGAGGCUGGAUUAGUUCCUGCAGAGAUGGAUUAGUCCUCACAAAAGCUGCCUGUUAUAAAUUGGGUCAACUCUUUUGUCCCCUUCUUUCCCAGGCACCCACUGCCUAUCACUUGCAUGUCCCUUGCAGAGAUGGCACCCAGCAUGUCAUGACAACUUUACCAGUUUAGACCACCGAAUCUCCACCUUCUUGGCUUCCAGGACUGUGUGAUAAAUAAACCUACUUUCCUAGUGAAUUAUCUUGUAUAAGACGGUCUGCUAUAGAAGCAGUUCUCCACCUAUGGGUCAACUGACCCCUUCAUAGGGGUCUCCUAAGACUAGGAAACACAGAUAUUUACAUUAUGGUUCGUAACAGUAGCAAAAUUACAGUUAUGAAGUAGUAGCAAAAAUACUUGUAUGGUUGGGUUACCACAAAAUAAUGUUGUGUAUUAAAGGGUCUCAACAUUAGGAAGGUUGAGAACCACUGGGCUAUAGAAUCAUAAAAUGGACUAACAUACCAUGCAACUGGGUUCUUACAGAAGGUGUGUAUACAGACACGAUAUUUGCUAUUCCUAGGUCCAGCCUUUCCACUACCCCUAGAGUGACACUUCUUGCUUUGUCCCCUGCCUCCCACCAUGCCCAUGAGUUGAAGAUAAGGGUCUCAUAAAACAGAAGCAUCUUGGGAAGCUGAGGUCACAGGAUCAGAAGUUCAAGGACACUCUCUGCUACAUCUGCUGGUUUAGUUCCAGCUUGGACUACGUAAGACCCUGAGCCUUGUCCCCUGCACCACCACCCCCUGCCCAGGAAAAGAAGGAGAUUGGAUAUGGGAGUUGCUGUGCUCAGGCAAUUCAUUGACCUGGACUGUAUUUGUGCAAGCAAGAAAUAAACCUUUAUUACCACUGCA